CUUGUCUUGUAUGUGAAUGAAAUUCUCUUAAUCGGAAAUGACAUUUCUUAUGUUAUAGAAAAUAAAGGUUUCACUAUUAUCAUAGUUCUCCAUAAAGAACUUAGGAAAGACAUCUCUUAUCCUAGAGAUGAAGAUUUAUAGAGAUAGAUCUAAGAGGUUGCUUAAGUUUUUCCAAUCCAACAUACAUAAGAUGUUUAUAAAUAGAAUUUAUUCUAUCAUUACACCA
rnacentral:lncRNA from 1 species